rnacentral:rRNA from 1 species
AACGAACGCUGGCGGCAUGCCUAACACAUGCAAGUCGAACGAGACCUUCGGGUCUAGUGGCGCACGGGUGCGUAACGCGUGGGAACCUGCCCUUAGGUUCGGAAUAACUCCCCGAAAGGGGUGCUAAUACCGGAUAAUGUCUUCGGACCAAAGAUUUAUCGCCUUUGGAUGGGCCCGCGUUGGAUUAGCUAGUUGGUAGGGUAAAAGCCUACCAAGGAGACGAUCCAUAGCUGGUCUGAGAGGAGGAUCAGCCACACUGGGGCUGAGACACAGCCCAGACUCCUACGGGAGGGAGCGGUGGGGAAUAUUGGACAAUGGGCGAAAGCCUGAGCCAGCAAGGCCGAGUGAGUGAUGAAGGGGUUAGGGUUGUAAAGCUCUUUUACCCGGGAUGAUAAUGACGGUACCGGGAGAAUAAGCGCCGGCUAACUCCGUG